UACGGAGGGUGCAAGCGUUAUCCGGGUUUACUGGGUUUAAAGGGUGUGUAGGCGGGCUUUUAAGUCAGUGGUGAAAUCUCCGGGCUCAACCUGGAAACUGCCAUUGAUACUAUUAGUCUUGAAUUUUGUUGAGGUAGGCGGAAUAAGUCAUGUAGCGGUGAAAUGCAUAGAUAUGACUUAGAACACCAAUUGCGAAGGCAGCUUGCUAAACAAAUAUUGACGCUGAGGCACGAAAGCGUGGGGAUCAAACAGG
rnacentral:rRNA from 1 species